rnacentral:rRNA from 1 species
UUGAACGCUGGCGGCAGGCCUAACACAUGCAAGUCGAGCGGUAGCACAGAGAGCUUGCUCUCGGGUGACGAGCGGCGGACGGGUGAGUAAUGUCUGGGAAACUGCCUGAUGGAGGGGGAUAACUACUGGAAACGGUAGCUAAUACCGCAUAACGUCGCAAGACCAAAGUGGGGGACCUUCGGGCCUCAUGCCAUCAGAUGUGCCCAGAUGGGAUUAGCUAGUAGGUGGGGUAACGGCUCACCUAGGCGACGAUCCCUAGCUGGUCUGAGAGGAUGACCAGCCACACUGGAACUGAGACACGGUCCAGACUCCUACGGGAGGCAGCAGUGGGGAAUAUUGCACAAUGGGCGCAAGCCUGAUGCAGCCAUGCCGCGUGUGUGAAGAAGGCCUUCGGGUUGUAAAGCACUUUCAGCGGGGAGGAAGGCGAUAAGGUUAAUAACCUUGUCGAUUGACGUUACCCGCAGAAGAAGCACCGGCUAACUCCGUGCCAGCAGCCGCGGUAAUACGGAGGGUGCAAGCGUUAAUCGGAAUUACUGGGCGUAAAGCGCACGCAGGCGGUCUGUCAAGUCGGAUGUGAAAUCCCCGGGCUCAACCUGGGAACUGCAUUCGAAACUGGCAGGCUAGAGUCUUGUAGAGGGGGGUAGAAUUCCAGGUGUAGCGGUGAAAUGCGUAGAGAUCUGGAGGAAUACCGGUGGCGAAGGCGGCCCCCUGGACAAAGACUGACGCUCAGGUGCGAAAGCGUGGGGAGCAAACAGGAUUAGAUACCCUGGUAGUCCACGCUGUAAACGAUGUCGAUUUGGAGGUUGUGCCCUUGAGGCGUGGCUUCCGGAGCUAACGCGUUAAAUCGACCGCCUGGGGAGUACGGCCGCAAGGUUAAAACUCAAAUGAAUUGACGGGGGCCCGCACAAGCGGUGGAGCAUGUGGUUUAAUUCGAUGCAACGCGAAGAACCUUACCUGGUCUUGACAUCCACAGAACUUUCCAGAGAUGGAUUGGUGCCUUCGGGAACUGUGAGACAGGUGCUGCAUGGCUGUCGUCAGCUCGUGUUGUGAAAUGUUGGGUUAAGUCCCGCAACGAGCGCAACCCUUAUCCUUUGUUGCCAGCGGUUAGGCCGGGAACUCAAAGGAGACUGCCAGUGAUAAACUGGAGGAAGGUGGGGAUGACGUCAAGUCAUCAUGGCCCUUACGACCAGGGCUACACACGUGCUACAAUGGCAUAUACAAAGAGAAGCGACCUCGCGAGAGCAAGCGGACCUCAUAAAGUAUGUCGUAGUCCGGAUUGGAGUCUGCAACUCGACUCCAUGAAGUCGGAAUCGCUAGUAAUCGUAGAUCAGAAUGCUACGGUGAAUACGUUCCCGGGCCUUGUACACACCGCCCGUCACACCAUGGGAGUGGGUUGCAAAAGAAGUAGGUAGCUUAACCUUCGGGAGGGCGCUUACCACUUUGUGAUUCAUGACUGGGGUG